rnacentral:rRNA from 1 species
GUCUACAGCCAUACCACCCUGAAUACGCCAAAUCUCAUCUGAUCUCAGAAGCUAAAAAGCAUCAGGCCUGGUUAGUACUUGGAUGGGAAAAUAUAUUUAGGAACUUUAUUGUAAGUGAGGGAGGCA